GUGCAGCAGUCGAGAAACCUCCGCAAUGCGGGAAACCGCGACGGGGGACCCCGAGUGCCGUGGCAACGCCACGGCUUUUCCGGAGUGUAAAAAGCUCCGGGAAUAAGGGCUGGGCAAGGCCGGUGGCAGCCGCCGCGGUAAUACCGGCGGCCCGAGUGGUGGCCGCUAUUAUUGGGCCUAAAGCGUCCGUAGCCGGGCCCGUAAGUCCCUGGCGAAAUCCCACGGCUCAACCGUGGGGCUUGCUGGGGAUACUGCGGGUCUUGGGACCGGGAGAGGCGGGGGGUACCCCUGGGGUAGGGGUGAAAUCCUAUAAUCCCAGGGGGACCGCCAGUGGCGAAGGCGCCCCGCUGGAACGGGUCCGACGGUGAGGGACGAAGGCCA
rnacentral:rRNA from 1 species